UGAGCAGUGGUUAUCCAAGAAUAACUUUUCUUGCUUUGGUGAGAGUAAACAUGAAGAGAUAUCUGAUGAAUUCUUUGAGAAGGCCAUGGACAUGUUUGAGAAAGUUGCAUAUGCGCGACAUUGUGAUCACUUUGCGCCUGAUGAGCUGGAAGAGCUGACGGUUGGUGUAGGGCCAAUGGAAGUAGUUAAAUCCAUUCAUGAGCAUUGGCAGAAUAAGCGGCAGAAGAAUGGCAUGGCUUUAGUACGCCAUCUCCAGCCACCCCUUUGGGAGAGGUAUCAGCAGCAACUGAAGGAAUGGGAACAAGCAAUGUCAAAUGCGAGUUUUGGCUUUGCUAGCGGAUGCCAGGAUA
rnacentral:misc_RNA from 1 species